rnacentral:rRNA from 1 species
CAGACGGUUCAGAGAUGGAUUCUUUCCCGCAGGGACGUGGACACAGGUGCUGCAUGGCUGCUCGUCAGCUCGUGUCGUGAGAUGUUGGGUUAAGUCCCGCAACGAGCGCAACCCUCGCCCUUAGUUGCCAUCAUUUAGUUGGGCACUCUAAGGGGACUGCCGGUGAUAAGCCGCGAGGAAGGUGGGGAUGACGUCAAGUCCUCAUGGCCCUUACGGGCUGGGCUACACACGUGCUACAAUGGCGGUGACAAUGGGACGCAAUGGAGCAAUCCUGCGCAAAUCUCAAAAAGCCGUCUCAGUUCGGAUUGUGCUCUGCAACUCGAGCACAUGAAGUUGGAAUCGCUAGUAAUCGCAGAUCAGCACGCUGCGGUGAAUACGUUCCCGGGCCUUGUACACACCGCCCGUCACACCAUGGGAGUUGGUUUUACCUGAAGACGGUGCGCUAACCGCAAGGAGGCAGCCGG